UACAGAGGUCUCAAGCGUUGUUCGGAUUCAUUGGGCGUGAAAGGGUGCGUAGGCGGCGCGGUAAGUCGGGUGUGAAAUUUCGAGGCUUAACUUCGAAACUGCAUUCGAUACUGCCGUGCUUGAGGACUGGAGAGGAGACUGGAAUUUACGGUGUAGCGGUGAAAUGCGUAGAUAUCGUAAGGAAGACCAGUGGCGAAGGCGGGUCUCUGGACAGUUCCUGACGCUGAGGCACGAAGGCCAGGGGAGCAAACGGG
rnacentral:rRNA from 1 species